GAAGAGUUAGUUAAAAUAUAACAUAAGGUUGUCAAUCUUGAGUUACUAACAAAUUAGUACUUUUCU
rnacentral:tRNA from 1 species